UCUUUACUUCUCUCUGUUAUGAUGUCACUCAGGUCUUUACUUCUGUUAUGAUGUCACUCAGGUCCUUACUUCUCUCUGUUAUGAUGUCACUCAGGUCUUUACUUCUCUGUUAUGAUGUCACUCAGGUCUUUACUUCUCUGUUAUGAUGUCACUCAGGUCUUUACUUCUCUCUGUUAUGAUGUCACUCAGGUCUUUACUUCUCUGUUAUGAUGUCACUCAGGUCUUUACUUCUCUCUGUUAUGAUGUCACUCAGGUCUUUACUUCUCUGUUAUGAUGUCACUCAGGUCUUUACUUCUCUCUGUUAUGAUGUCACUCAGGUCUUUACUUCACUGUUAAGAUGUCACUCAGGUCUUUACUUCUCUGUUAUGAUGUCACUCAGGUCUUUACUUCUCUGUUAUGAUGUCACUCAGGUCUUUACUUCUCUCUGUUAUGAUGUCACUCAGGUCUUUACUUCUCUCUGUUAUGAUGUCACUCAGGUCUUUACUUCUCUGUUAUGAUGUCACUCAGGUCUUUACUUCUCUGUUAUGAUGUCACUCAGGUCUUUACUUCUCUCUGUUAUGAUGUCACUCAGGUCUUUACUUCUCUGUUAUGAUGUCACUCAGGUCUUUACUUCUCUCUGUUAUGAUGUCACUCAGGUCUUUACUUCUCUGUUAUGAUGUCACUCAGGUCUUUACUUCUCUGUUAUGAUGUCACUCAGGUCUUUACUUCUCUCUGUUAUGAUGUCACUCAGGUCUUUACUUCUCUCUGUUAUGAUGUCACUCAGGUCUUUACUUCUCUGUUAUGAUGUCACUCAGGUCUUUACUUCUCUGUUAUGAUGUCACUCAGGUCUUUACUUCUCUCUGUUAUGAUGUCACUCAGGUCUUUACUUCUCUGUUAUGAUGUCACUCAGGUCUUUACUUCUCUGUUAUGAUGUCACUCAGGUCUUUACUUCUCUCUGUUAUGAUGUCACUCAGGUCUUUACUUCUCUGUUAUGAUGUCACUCAGGUCUUUACUUCUCUGUUAUGAUGUCACUCAGGUCUUUACUUCUCUGUUAUGAUGUCACUCAGGUCUUUACUUCUCUGUUAUGAUGUCACUCAGGUCUUUACUUCUCUCUGUUAUGAUGUCACUCAGGUCUUUACUUCUCUGUUAUGAUGUCACUCAGGUCUUUACUUCUCUCUGUUAUGAUGUCACUCAGGUCUUUACUUCUCUGUUAUGAUGUCACUCAGGUCUUUACUUCUCUGUUAUGAUGUCACUCAGGUCUUUACUUCUCUCUGUUAUGAUGUCACUCAGGUCUUUACUUCUCUGUUAUGAUGUCACUCAGGUCUUUACUUCUCUGUUAUGAUGUCACUCAGGUCUUUACUUCUCUGUUAUGAUGUCACUCAGGUCUUUACUUCUCUGUUAUGAUGUCACUCAGGUCUUUACUUCUGUUAUGAUGUCACUCAGGUCUUUACUUCACUCUGUUAUGAUGUCACUCAGGUCUUUACUUCACUCUGUUAUGAUGUCACUCAGGUCUUUACUUCACUCUGUUAUGAUGUCACUCAGGUCUUUACUUCACUCUGUUAUGAUGUCACUCAGGUCUUUACUUCUCUCUGUUAUGAUGUCACUCAGGUCUUU